rnacentral:rRNA from 1 species
UGAGUAACAUGUGGGUAUCUACCCUUUGGCCUGGAAUAACACGAGGAAACUUGUGCUAAUACCGUAUAAGCCCUUCGGGGGAAAGAUUUAUCGGUGAAGGAUUGGCCCGCGUAAGAUUAGAUAGUUGGUGGGGUAAUGGCCUACCAAGUCUACGAUCUUUAGCUGGUUUGAGAGGAUGAUCAGCAACACUGGGACUGAGACACGGCCCAGACUCCUACGGGAGGCAGCAGUGGGGAAUCUUAGACAAUGGGGGAAACCCUGAUCUAGCGAUGCCGCGUGUGUGACGAAGGCCUUAGGGUCGUAAAGCACUUUCGCCAAGGAUGAUAAUGACAGUACUUGGUAAAGAAGCCCCGGCUAACUCCGUGCCAGCAGCCGCGGUAAUACGGAGGGGGCUAGCGUUGCUCGGAAUUACUGGGCGUAAAGCGUACGUAGGCGGAUCAGAAAGUAUGGGGUGAAAUCCCAGGGCUUAACCCUAGAACUGCCUCAUAAACUCCUGGUCUUGAGUUCGAGAGAGGUGAGUGGAAUUCCAAGUGUAGAGGUGAAAUUCGUAGAUAUUUGGAGGAACACCAGUGGCGAAGGCGGCUCACUGGCUCGAUACUGACGCUGAGGUACGAAAGUGUGGGGAGCAAACAGGAUUAGAUACCCUGGUAGUCCACACCGUAAACGAUGAAUGCCAGUCGUCGGGCAGUAUACUGUUCGGA